rnacentral:rRNA from 1 species
CCCUUAGAUGUCCGGGGCUGCACGCGCGCCACACUGAGUGGAUCAGCGUGUGUCUACCCUUCGCCGAGAGGCGUGGGUAACCCGCUGAACCCCACUCGUGAUAGGGAUUGGGGAUUGCAAUUAUUUCCCAUGAACGAGGAAUUCCCAGUAAGCGCGGGUCAUAAGCUCGCGUUGAUUAAGUCCCUGCCCUUUGUACACACCGCCCGUCGCUACUACCGAUUGGAUGGUUUAGUGAGGUCCUCGGAUCGGCCCCGCCGGGGUCGGUCACGGCCCUGGCGGAGCGCCGAGAAGACGAUCAAACUUGNCNAUCUAGNGGAAGUAAAANUCGUANCA